rnacentral:rRNA from 1 species
AGUGAACGCUGGCGGCGUGCCUAAUACAUGCAAGUCGAACGAAGUGGCGCACGGGUGAGUAAUAUAUAGUUAAUCUGCCCUACACAGAGGAACAACAGUUGGAAACGACCGCUAAUAACUCAUAGUGUAGGAUGAGACUCAAACGUAUCAGCUAGUUGGUAAGGGAAUGGCUUACCAAGGCUAUGACGCGUAACUGGUCUGAGAGGAUGAUAAGUCACUGUGGAACUGAGACACGGUCCAAACUCCUACGGGAGGCGGCAGUAAGGAAGAUUGCGCAAUGGGGGAGACCCUGACGCAGCAUCGCCGCGUGGAGGAUGACACUUUUCGGGGCGUAAACUCCUUUUAUCAGGAAGGCGUUACCUGAUGAAUAAGCACCGGCUAACUCCGUGCCAGCAGCCGCGGUAAUAC